rnacentral:lncRNA from 1 species
CUUCUCCAUUAAGUGACUGAACGAGGGCCAGGGGACCUUUGUUUGUCCCAAAUGCGGUCCUGAUAGAGACUUUGGGAUCUGGGUACUACGUUCUAUUCUGUAAUAGGACCAAGUUCUUUCUUCUUCCUUGGGUCACACAGAACACUUUCACAUCUUCUGGAUUCAGCCAUUUAAUUGAAGAUGCAGGCCUUGUCUUCCUGGAUGCUCCCCAUCAACCUCAUCGAUAUAAAAAUGACCUUUUCUAUUGGAUAAGUAACGUGAUUUUUUAUUUAAGUACUUUUUUAAAUAAAAAAGUAAUUUUUUAUUUAAAAAAUAAAAUCUCAUCAUUUCUAUUUUUUAAAUUUAUUUUAUGUUUAUGUAUUUUUGAGAGAGAGGGACAGUGAGUGGGGAAGGGGCAGAGAGAGAGGGAGAGAGACCCAGAAUCAGAAGCAGGCUCCAGGCUCUGAGCUGUUAGCACAGAGCCUGAUGCAGGGCUCGAACUCAAGAGCUGUGAGAUCAUGACCUGAGCCGAAGUCCAACCCUUAACUGACUGAGCCACCUGGGCACCCCUCUUUUCUAUUUUUAUUUAUCACUUUAACCAAAGACAACAGAGUUGGAUUCUGAAUCUUACAGGAAAAGAAAUUAAUUGAAAGGAAGAGAAAAAAAGAAAGAAAGAAAGAAAGAAAGAAAGAAAGAAAGAAAGAAAGAAGAAAGAAAGAAAGAAAGAAGAAAGAAAGAAAGAAAAAGAAAGAAAGAAAGAAAGAAAGAAAGAAGAAAGAAGAAAAACUCAGUUAUGGGAACCUUCAUAUCCUUCUUUCUUUAAGAGCGUAAAUGGGGGCUUUUGUUGUUGCUGUUUUUGGCUUUGCACAAAAGUCACGUCCUGUGAUCUCAUGAAAUAGGUGCCUUCAUCUCUUUCUUUUUUGAACUGAUCAGCUGGAUAUCUUCCAGGGAUUUGGUGUCAGAAAUCAAGUCUGGUGAGUGAGAAGUUUGACCAGAUUCAGAACAGCCUCGUCAAAUUGCAAACAGAGGGUGUGGAGUCAGGUCAGUUACAGAGGGUCACAAAAAUGAAACUCACAAUGGACAGGGUGUAUAUUUGAGGCACAUAAGUCAGUAGUAGUUGAUAUUAAUCAAAUACAAAAACAAAAACAAAAUAAUAGUAGUAAUAAACAGCCAGGCCAACACUGAAACUUUUGAACU